UACGUAGGUGGCAAGCGUUGUCCGGAAUUAUUGGGCGUAAAGCGCGCGUAGGCGGCUACUUAAGUCGGAUGUGAAAGCCCUUGGCUCAACUGAGGAAGUGCACCCGAAACUGAGUGGCUAGAGUACGAAAGAGGGUCGCGGAAUUCCCGGUGUAGGGGUGAAAUUCGUAGAUAUCGGGAGGAACACCGGUGGCGAAGGCGGCGACCUGGGUCGAUACUGACGCUGAUGCGCGAAAGCGUGGGGAGCAAACAGG
rnacentral:rRNA from 1 species